GUUUUCUAAGUCAAGACCUAUGUGAUAUUAUAAUUGCUUUUGUGCUUAUUGUGUGAAACUUCAGUGAUUACCAGGGGGACUUGAUCUAUGGGUCUUUUGGAAUUGAACAACUUGAGAAGUUGAGCAGUUCUUGUCAAGAUGAAUUACUGGAUUCAAAAUUAAAUAAAAAUCGAGGCAUCAUAAGACUAAGUAAUGGGGUAAGGUCACUAAGGUGUGUUCAGCAUUGUGGUGCUGAGUCUAGUGUCUAUCUAUCAGUUUUGGUCUGUCUUAAGCUUUUGCGUUUUGGAUUGUUGGUUUUGCACUUGAUAAAUGUGUUGCUGGUACAUAAUGAUGAUGAUGCGAAGACUGUAUGCGAUAUUAUAAAUGUCUUUGCCAACAGUAGAUGUUAGCAGCUCUCAGGAUUUCAAAUUUUAGGAUCACUCAACCAAAGCACCCUGAAGAAUCCUCCAACUUGUAUCUUCAAAAGUAUAUGGCAGAUGCAAAGGCAACAAAGGAAACUGUAAUGGUCUAAGGUCUGAUGCUAGCUACUUCAGCCACAUGCAAGAUUACUCAACAAAGUAUAUACCAUAUGGUUGCCUCCUAGGUUGAUGAAAGAAGAUAUAUUUUCUUAACAGUCAUGAGGUCAUGUAUCUAGAACAAGCAUUGAAAAUCAUGACCAACUUAUCCAGGAAAACUAUUAGUAGAAAAUUUACUUACCAAGAUUACUGCUUUGAUGUUGUCAGUAGUUAGGUUAAACUCAAGUCCACAGUUAUCCUUGUGAAAUUUUAAGAGUACUUCUAUCAGGUGUUCCUGUGCUUCCCUCUCACCACCUUGUGAUGUUGCCUUUUCUGUGUGUUCUUUUAUGAUGUUUUCCAGUAUCCUAUCAGUUUUCUUUUGCAACCUUUGGAGUUUAGGCCUCAUCCCAGUUAUCAUAUGCAGCAGACUGUAAGAAGGAAAGACAUCUGCAAGAUCAAAGCCUCCUGCCAGUUGUAUACCUUCUUUCACAGCAUCUAUAAACUCUUCAUGAUAUUUACUCUUUUUACCGAAGGCAGCUCGUGUAGUGAUUGUAUAUGUAGAUAAGUAAAUUUUUUCUGUAAGAUUGAUAGGUGAUCUGGCUUUGGAAGCAAUCCAUUUGAUGAGAUUCAGCAUCUCUUCCUCUCUAAUAGGUCGAUAAGAUUGAACACGCUUUGGACUUAAGACCUCCAGUGUGCAAAUUUUCCUCAGCUGUCUCCAGUAAUCACCAUAUUUUGCAAAGACAAUGUUUGUGGAGUUGUAAGAAACAAUGUCUGCGGCAAGGAGAUGGGGCCUGGAUGCAAAAGUAGCGUCGUGGGUCUUCAUCACCUCUUUGGCAAAUUCUGCUGAUGAAACAACCACUGUGGAAACUUCUCCAAGCCUUAGGUGCAUUAGGGGUCCGUAUUUGUUGGCCAAGUUUCGCAGACUGCGAUGGGGUAGAGAGCCAGCAAGCUGGUGGAUGUUCCCUAUAAAGGGUAGCUCACGUGGUCCUGGUGGUAGAUUUGAACUGGAGCUUUUGGUUUUGCCUCUGCUUGCUAUUUUGAGUACCAUAACCACAAAGAGAGAAAAGGUAAGUAUGGCAUGGAAGAAAGAGAACUGGAGGUCCAUGAUGAACUUUUUAGUGACACUGAAUGCAUCUACCAAUCUUUGGAUUAUGUAUAUAUAGAACAUGAUGUAGCAAUGACUUUUUCUUGAUGCAAAAUUUCUAUCAAAUUGACUUGUUUGGAUAUGUUUAUUUUUAUCAAUAUUAAACAUGAAUACAAUAACUGAUAUCAGACCAUCAGUAUCUUUACUACAUUUGAUUCAUUUGUAUCGCCUUCAUUGUCUUUUUGUCCUAAUAACUUAUCCAAGUAAACAAAAGUGAAGGCAUGUUGUGACUGUUUGAUUUGUGCAACAGGGAGUCCCAUACCGAAUAUAGCAGCGGCCAUAUUUGUCUGGUCUUAGAUGUGGAGGAAAGAAACAAGGGAAAUGAUCCAGAACUGAGGUAAUAUAAUAUAAGGCUCCAAAAAACUUUGUUACAACUUAUGCAUUGAUCCCUUUCCCUCUCUAGUUUAUUAUCUAGCAAUUCUUGUUUUUUGGUACAAAUAUUAUCUUGAAUU
rnacentral:lncRNA from 1 species